AUGACUCUGCAGUUUGGAGAGCUUGCUGCUCCUCCAGUGUACCCCGCCACAACAACAGCCCCAUCUGUCUAUCCACUGGCUCCUGGACUAGGAAGCACAACUGACCCCACGGUGACCCUGGGAUGCCUGGUCAAGGGCUAUUUCCCUGAGCCGGUGACCGUAAGCUGGAACUCUGGAGCCCUGACCAGCGGCGUGCACACCUUCCCAUCUGUCCUGCAUUCUGGGCUCUACUCCCUCAGCAGCUCAGUGACUGUACCUUCCAGCACCUGGCCCAGCCAGACCGUCACCUGCAACGUAGCCCACCCGGCCAGCAGCACCAAGGUGGACAAGAAAAUUGCUCCUGACCUCUUGGGUGGACCAUCCGUCUUCAUCUUCCCCCCAAAGCCCAAGGAUGUGCUCAUGAUCUCCCUGACCCCCAAGAUCACAUGUGUGGUGGUGGACGUGAGCGAGGAUGAGCCAGACGUCCAGUUCAACUGGUUUGUGAACAACGUAGAAGACAAGACAGCUCAGCCACCGUCCCGGCAGCAGCAGUACAACAGCACCUACCGCGUGGUCAGUGUCCUGCCCAUCAAGCACCAGGACUGGAUGAGUGGCAAGGAGUUCAAAUGCAAGGUCAACAACAAAGCCCUCCCUAGCCCCAUUGAGAAAACCAUCUCCAAACCCAGAGGGCAAGUCCGAGUGCCACAGAUAUAUACCUUUCCUCCGCCUGUGGAGCAGAUGGCCAAGAAAGAUGUCAGUGUGACCUGCCUGGUCACAGGCUUCCUCCCUCAGGACAUCCACGUGGAGUGGGAGAUCAAUGGGCAGCCACAACCAGAGCAGAGCUACAAGAACACCCAGCCAGUCUUUGAUUCCGACGGCUCUUACUUCCUGUACAGCAAGCUCAAUGUGCCCAAGAGCAGGUGGGACCAGGGAGAUUCCUUCACCUGCUCCGUGAUACAUGAGGCCCUGCACAACCACCACAUGACAAAGUCCAUCUCCCGGUCUCGGGAUUUCGAACUGGACGACAACUGUGCUGAGGCCCAGGACGGGGAGCUGGACGGGCUCUGGACAACCAUCACCAUCUUCAUCACCCUCUUCCUGCUCAGCGUGUGCUAUAGCGCCACCGUCACACUCUUCAAGGUAAAGUGGAUCUUCUCCUCAGUGGUGGGGAUGAAGCAGGCAAUCUCUCCUGACUACAGGAACAUGAUUGGACAGGGAGCCUAG